rfam:TPA: Bos taurus chromosome 1, whole genome shotgun sequence.
UCCCUGAUGGCUCAGUUGGUAAAGAAUCUGCCUGAGAUGCGGGAGACCUGGGUUCAAUCCCUGGGCUGGGAA